CCUACUGAGACAGCUGAAGAUAACGUACCAGUGGUGACUAACCCGCGCCCUAAUGAUCCAACAGGGUGAGACCAAGCACCUGAUCCACAACCUCUCAGAAGCAGCAGCUUUACUGCCCACACUCCACGUACCUCCAAACACCCUGACAACUCCAGCGGACGGGACACCAACCAGGAAGCGGCACCAGUAGAAUCCAUACUCUACAAUCCCUUUCACCACUCGCCGGAUGACUAUGGGAUGAUAUGCAGCGGCCACUACCUGAAGGACAGUAGGACUAACAACCAUCACCUAAUGAAGCCUUACAGCACUCUUUAGAACUGUAGGCUUAAUUUAAAGUUUGCCGUUA